UCCGAGUUGUCCCCGGCAGUCCCUCUAGAGUCCCCGGCAUUACCCGCUGGCAACUAAAGGCAGGGGUUGCGCUCGUUGCGGCACUUAACCCAACAUCUCACGACACGAGCUGAUGACAGCCAUGCAGCACCUGUGCACGCUCCCGAAGGUCGGUCGGCUUUCACCUCCCUACUACGUGCAUGUCAAACCCAGGUAAGGUUCUUCGCGUCGCAUCGAAUUAAACCACAUACUCCACCGCUUGUGCGGGCCCCCGUCAAUUCCUUUGAGUUUCAGUCUUGCGACCGUACUCCCCAGGCGGCGAACUUAACGCGUUAGCUUCGAUACUGCGUGCCAAAUUGCACCCAACAUCCAGUUCGCAUCGUUUAGGGCGUGGACUAC
rnacentral:misc_RNA from 1 species